GNNNAGUCGGGCCUGCCUCGGUGAUUUAUAUUUAACAGCUGCGGUAUUAUAACUGUACUAAGGUAGCAUAAUAAUUUGCUCUAUAAAUUAGGGCUAGAAUGAAUGGUUUGACGAGAAUUAGACUGUCUCUAUUUUAUUUAUUAGAAAUUAAUUUUUAUAGUGAAAAAGCUUAGAUAAUUUAAAGGGACGAAAAGACCCUAUUGAGCUUUAUUUAUAAUUGACGAUAGAAUAUAUAUAUAUAUAUAUAUAUAUAUAUAUAUAUAUAUAUUGUUUUGUAUUAGUUUUGAUUGGGGUGAUCAAGGAAUAAAAAAAAAUAAUAUGAAAAAUUAACUUCCUUAGAUAUUAUAUUUUAUAAAUUAAUAAACCAAGAUUUUUGCUUAAAAGAUAAGUUACCAUAGGGAUAACAGCGUAAUUUUUUUUGAGAGUUCAUAUUGAAAAAAGAGAUUGCGACCUCGAUGUUGGAUUAAAAUUAACCUUAAGGUGUAGAGGCUAUAAUAGGUAA
rnacentral:rRNA from 1 species